UCCGUAGGCGGCUUGUUAGGUGAGGUGUGAAAUCCCCCGGCUCAACCGAGGAAUUGCGCUUCAAACCGGCGAGCUUGAGGAAGGUAGAGGUGGGCGGAACUGAUGGUGGAGCGGUGAAAUGCGUUGAUAUCAUCAGGAACACCGGAGGCGAAGGCGGCCCACUGGGUCUUUUCUGACGCUGAGGGACGAAAGCUAGGGUAGCGAACG
rnacentral:rRNA from 1 species